rnacentral:rRNA from 1 species
UCUCCUGGGAAAGGGUGGUAAUGCCGGAUGCUCCAGUUGAUCGCAUGGUCUUCUGGGAAAGCUUUCGCGGUAUGGGAUGGGGUCGCGUCCUAUCAGCUUGACGGCGGGGUAACGGCCCACCGUGGCUUCGACGGGUAGCCGGCCUGAGAGGGCGACCGGCCACAUUGGGACUGAGAUACGGCCCAGACUCCUACGGGAGGCAGCAGUGGGGAAUAUUGCACAAUGGGCGCAAGCCUGAUGCAGCGACGCCGCGUGAGGGAUGGAGGCCUUCGGGUUGUAAACCUCUUUUAUCGGGGAGCAAGCGAGAGUGAGUUUACCCGUUGAAUAAGCACCGGCUAACUACGUGCCAGCAGCCGCGGUAAUACGUAGGGUGCAAGCGUUAUCCGGAAUUAUUGGGCGUAAAGGGCUCGUAGGCGGUUCGUCGCGUCCGGUGUGAAAGUCCAUCGCUUAACGGUGGAUCCGCGCCGGGUACGGGCGGGCUUGAGUGCGGUAGGGGAGACUGGAAUUCCCGGUGUAACGGUGGAAUGUGUAGAUAUCGG